rnacentral:miRNA from 1 species
UCCGAAGCUUCUGAGGCUCUUGGCC